rnacentral:rRNA from 1 species
AGGAGCCUGCGUUAGAUUAGCUAGUUGGUGAGGUAAGAGCUCACCAAGGCGACGAUCUAUAGCUGGUCUGAGAGGACGAUCAGCCACACUGGAACUGAGACACGGUCCAGACUUCUACGGAAGGCAGCAGUCAGGAAUAUUGGGCAAUGGGCGAAAGCCUGACCCAGCGAUGCCGCGUGUGUGAAGAAGGCCCUAGGGUUGUAAAGCACUUUCAGUCGUGAAGAAAAGCAUUGGGUUAAUACCCCGACGUGUUGACGUUAACGACAGAAGAAGUACCG